AUCAGCUUCCGCAAAUCUUGCAGAUGAUUCUUUAACGGCGGUGACAGAGCCAUCGUAAUAGACUCGAGUGACAGACUUGUUAUUAGGCCCAUGACAGGUCACAUAAGUGUAAUCCUCCAAGCUCUCAAUCUCCAAAUCCUGACAACAUCUCUCACAAUUCUUGCCGGAGCUAACAGGAAUUGGGGGGCUGAUUGAUUUGUUAUUAUUACUACAUACGGCAAAUUUGGCCAAAAUUUCGUGCCCACAAUCGGUAUUAGACUUUUCUAGUGCUGCCACUAUGCCCAACCCAACCCCACCUGCAUCAUAACAUCUUAGACCACAUCUCGGUGACUGAAUUUUUAAGUCCAGUGGACCUCUCGGGCUUGUACCCACGUCCGAAAACCCGGCACGGUUGCCGGAAACCAAUAAAGCCGAUAAUUUUCCGAUCACCGGGCGAGGUCUGUUGCCCAACAUGAUGACUACAACUGGUAAUAGUGUUAUGUAGCUUGGGAGAUUUGAGUAGUAACAAAUUGGAG
rnacentral:lncRNA from 1 species